GCUGGCGGCAGGCCUAACACAUGCAAGUCGAGCGGUAGAGAGAAGCUUGCUUCUCUUGAGAGCGGCGGACGGGUGAGUAAUGCCUAGGAAUCUGCCUGGUAGUGGGGGAUAACGUUCGGAAACGGACGCUAAUACCGCAUACGUCCUACGGGAGAAAGCAGGGGACCUUCGGGCCUUGCGCUAUCAGAUGAGCCUAGGUCGGAUUAGCUAGUUGGUGAGGUAAUGGCUCACCAAGGCGACGAUCCGUAACUGGUCUGAGAGGAUGAUCAGUCACACUGGAACAGAGACACGGUCCAGACUCCUACGGGAGGCAGCAGUGGGGAAUAUUGGACAAUGGGCGAAAGCCUGAUCCAGCCAUGCCGCGUGUGUGAAGAAGGUCUUCGGAUUGUAAAGCACUUUAAGUUGGGAGGAAGGGUUGUAGAUUAAUACUCUGCAAUUUUGACGUUACCGACAGAAUAAGCACCGGCUAACUCUGUGCCAGCAGCCGCGGUAAUACAGAGGGUGCAAGCGUUAAUCGGAAUUACUGGGCGUAAAGCGCGCGUAGGUGGUUUGUUAAGUUGGAUGUGAAAUCCCCGGGCUCAACCCGGGAACUGCAUUCAAAACUGACUGACUAGAGUAUGGUAGAGGGUGGUGGAAUUUCCUGUGUAGCGGUGAAAUGCGUAGAUAUAGGAAGGAACACCAGUGGCGAAGGCGACCACCUGGACUAAUACUGACACUGAGGUGCGAAAGCGUGGGGAGCAAACAGGAUUAGAUACCCUGGUAGUCC
rnacentral:rRNA from 1 species